rnacentral:rRNA from 1 species
AGCUCCUACGGGGGGCAGCAGUAGGGAAUCUUCCACAAUGGACGAAAGUCUGAUGGAGCAACGCCGCGUGAGUGAAGAAGGGUUUCGGCUCGUAAAGCUCUGUUGGUAGUGAAGAAAGAUAGAGGUAGUAACUGGCCUUUUUUUGACGGUAAUUACUUAGAAAGUCACGGCUAACUACGUGCCAGCAGCCGCGGUAAUACGUAGGUGGCCAGCGUUGUCCGGAUUGAUUGGGCGUAAAGGGUG